CAGCCGCCGCGGUAAUACGGAGGGGGCUAGCGUUGUUCGGAAUUACUGGGCGUAAAGCGCACGUAGGCGGCUUGGUAAGUUAGAGGUGAAAGCCUGGAGCUCAACUCCAGAAUUGCCUUUAAGACUGCCGAGCUAGCAGGUGAGAGAGGUAAGUGGAAUUCCGAGUGUAGAGGUGAAAUUCGUAGAUAUUCGGAAGAACACCAGUGGCGAAGGCGGCUUACUGGCUCAUACUGGACGCUGAGGUGCGAAAGCGUGGGGAGCAAACAGGAUUAGAUACCCGAGUAGUCCCUGUCUCUUAUAC
rnacentral:rRNA from 1 species